rnacentral:misc_RNA from 1 species
CACAGGGACAUGCCUUGGAUAAUUCUGCAUGGCUUCCAUCUCAUCUGUUGGAAAGGUGUUGUUAAAUUCAUUUGAUUUCUUUCCCUGAAACAAUUUCUCAUUAAAAGGACAGGAUUCCAAUGUUGCAGCUUUAUUAGUGCCAUUAUCCUGAACUGUCUGUUUGGCAUCAGGCUUAUCCAGCUUCUGAUUUCCUUGAAGUUCAGUAGUGACAUUAGAUCCAUUAUUUGCAUCUUGAUUUACCUCCUUCAGCGUAGGUACAAACUCCCGAAAAGAGCACGAGUUUUUUAGUGCGUCAAGUGCAGGUACAGAACUC